rnacentral:rRNA from 1 species
ACGACGCUGGCGGCGUGCCUAACACAUGCAAGCGAGCGAAUGAAGUUCCUUCGGGAACGGAUUUAGCGGCGGACGGGUUGAGUAACACGUGGGCAACCUGCCUCAUAGAGGGGAAUAGCCUUCCGAAAGGGAGAUUAAUACCGCAUAAGAUUGUAGUACCGCAUGGUACAGCAAUUAAAGGAGCAAUCCGCUAUGAGAUGGGCCCGCGGCGCAUUAGCUAGUUGGUGAGGUAACGGCUCACCAAGGCGACGAUGCGUAGCCGACCUGAGAGGGUGAUCGGCCACAUUGGGACUGAGACACGGCCCAGACUCCUACGGGAGGCAGCAGUGGGGAAUAUUGCACAAUGGGGGAAACCCUGAUGCAGCAACGCCGCGUGAGUGAUGACGGCCUUCGGGUUGUAAAGCUCUGUCUUCAGGGACGAUAAUGACGGUACCUGAGGAGGAAGCCACGGCUAACUACGUG